UUUUCGUGUAAAUAUACUUGUCUUGGUGCUACUUAGUUUAAUUCAGACUUUAUCAUUGAAAUUGGUGUUUCUGUCUGUAGACAGUUUUAGCUAACAAUAGCAGCACAUGUUGGUUAGCUUUUAGCCAAUGUCACUUAUUACUCAUUUCUUGCAUUCAUAGGUGAUAUAGCAACUUUUUUUUCAACUAAGUGUAGUGAGUAGGGUGGUUGAGACAGGAAGCGCAGCUUGAAGGCCGUCCCACUGACGCUGAUUAUUUGGAUCAGGUGGUACCAGUAGCGCUUCCUUUUAAAUGUGGAGUGGGAUGCGGACAGGAGAACAAUAAUGCGGUGUGCGUUGAAGAGUGAGCUUUGUGGAAUAAGCUGUGCAAACAGGAGAACCUCGGCCUGGUGUCUGUGCAUAUGGUGACCAGUAAAUGGUACACGCAGUUUCAAGUCUACUUUGCUCGCAUAAUAGCGAGUAGUGAAUCCACACUGGUUUGCAGCAACAAGCAACGCUGAUGCUGGUGAGAGUGUGCACAGCUAUUAGUCAUCCACACUGGUAUAACUUUAUUGGUUCGUCUAAUUCAUCUUGGCUGGUCUUAAAAACGUUCUUCAUCUACAGUGGAUGUGGAAUAUUUAUGAGUUUAAAUCUUGUUUGUUCAUGUUUUAUCAAUAAUAAAAG